GGUUGUAUCAGAUGGUCCAUGUAUCCCAUGGAGUUGAAGAACUUCUUGUUUGAUGAGUUUCUUGAUAGUUAUAAAUUUGCUCCUGGUCUUACUAAAAGUGUAUUGAAAAAGGUUUUCAUGAAGGUUGCAGGAAGAUGACUUAGUCAAAGGUUAAACUAUUUAAGAAAAUAGUUUGGUGGUAGAAUGGACAAAGAAAGGAUGGC